CCAUCUCAAAACCCUAGUUCUUCGUUAGCUCACAUGUCGCAACCCUUCGCUGUCGCUGUCUGUGUCUGUAAGAGGGGGAUGGGUUUGGCGCCUCUUAGAGUAGCCGUAUGAAUGAUGAUCGUGUUUAUAUGGCUUAGUUAGGAGGCGUAGAUUAAAGGAAGCGGUGGAUCAGAGAAGAAGCUUCUCUGAUCUUUCACUUCAUUGGCGGCCUUUUUGAGGGGACUCUCUUGUGUUGUUUCUGUCAAUUGUCCCCCAAGCAGCCUCCCACAUUACUCCCUCCUCUCUCUGCUUUUUUUUUUGGGUCUGAUUUUUCAUCCUAAAUCCCCCAAGCAGGCAUCGUCGCACUAAAAUUUGGGUACAUUGUCCUUAACGAAUCACUUUGGGGGCUAAGGUGAGAUAUUUUCUAAUCAGUACCCAAAUAGCUGUAAUUUGUUCUUAAGAUGACAGUUAAGUCAUUUCAUCAUCCUCACUGAUUAAAAUAUCAAAUUAGAGCGGAUCAUGUGCGGAGGGGAAUCUUGGAGUUAGGGUUUCUAGACGAUGGUUAUAACUAUUUAAUUCACUUUGGAGAGAUCUAGAAUUUUGGAGGUGGUUCAGCUUUUUAUCAUAACAGCAAGGCGAAGCUGAAUUAGCUUCCGCAUGAUGUUAAGGAUGCUUCUGGAGUACAUAUUAGGGAAGCGAAAGCAGUGGAUAUGACAUUCCGGAAUCAGGAGAUGUGUGCGAUGAGUUGAGACUCCGGAACCUUUUGGAUGAUCAGUUUGAUUUGAAUUUAGCAAAGAUGGGCCCAAGGCUGCAAAAGUUGAUCCAAUAUCUCAGGUUGCUAAGCCUGCGGAGGUAUGACAACUAAAGCAAAUUCUGCUUCUUUGUUGUAUGUGCUGUUGUAGCCUCAACUGCAAAAGUUGAUCCAAUCUCUCUCUCUCUCUCUCUCUCUCUCUCUCUCUGUGAGAGGGAGAUGAGUUUGAUGCCUCUUUGAGUAGCCGUAUUAAUGAUGAUCGUGUUUAUAUGGCUUAGUUAGGAGGCAUAUAUUAAAGGAAGCAGUGGAUCAGAGAAGAAGCUUCUCUCUGAUCUUUAAUUUCACCGGUGGCCUUUUUGAGGGGACUCUCUCGUUUUGUUCUGUCAAUUGUCCUCCAAGCAGCCUCCCACAUUGCUCCCUCCCACUUUCUGUGUUUUUUUUUAAUCUGAUUCUUCAUCCUAAGUCCUCAAAUGUGUGUGUAUAUAUAUAUAUAUAUAUAUAUAUGUAUGAUCCAAUGAUUAGUUUUUGUUUUUGGCUUUUAGGAUUAUUUGCCUCUCAAAUGACUGGAAAGGCAACUUGGAUUUUAAUGCCACUUAUCAUUCUAAUUCUUUUCAGACACUGGUGCACAGAAAUUCUGGUACUUUGACCUUACGAAUUGCAUUGAGCAUAAGGCAAGAUUUUUUGUGUUUAGUACCAUAAUUGUUGUAAUGGGUUGUUAAGAAAUGGUUUGAUCAAUGGGCAAUUCAUUUCAUUAUCCCCACUUAUUAAAAUAUAUUAAUGGAUGCAUCUACUUGAGGGGGAUUCUUCUGUCUGUCUUCCAAUAAUUGUCUAGUGUUAAUGUUUGCCUCCCGAAUAACCCGGAAAGUUCAGAUUGAUUUUAGUCACCGUUCGGUUCAGAUGGGGGCAUACAACAAUUUGGGAUAAAUAAUCUCUUUUCCAAAUCAGUUUGAGGGUGAGGAAUGAUUUCCUUCUUUGCAGUUCCUUUCCUAGAUUGUUUUGGAUAAUAUUCGUUCUUCCUUUCAUUUGUUUGGUUAUUUUGCUUCUGAAUUUAAAUUUUUUAUUUGUUUAUUUAAAGUAUAGGUUUGAUUUGAGUGGAAAGAAUGGGAACCAACCAAAUGAUGAGUAUUGGAUAAAAAUUCUCACACGGUCGUCUGAGUCUCAUUGAUGCAAAUGUUCCAAUGCUUCUGAUGGGUUUCAUUUGUUCAAUGAUUGUUUUGUUUUGUUUUGUUUUUUUGUAGAGCAAGCAUGAUGAUGAUUUGUACAUUAAAAUUCCGAUAAAUUCAUGAUUGGAAUACAGUAUCCUCCUACUCAUUCUGAGUGCUUGUAAUCUUUGAAGUUUAGGGACUUUUUGUAUUUACACCCAUGAAACCAAACGCUGCUGAUGGUUUAUUUGUGUUUAAUGGUACUUCCUUUGUUUUGUAUUAGUUGAUUUUUGUUUUGUAUUUUUUUAGUAAGAAAAUACAAUCCAUCCCCCCCUACUUUGUUUUA